rnacentral:misc_RNA from 1 species
GAUGAAGAACGUAGCGAAAUGCGAUAAGUAAUGUGAAUUGCAGAAUUCAGUGAAUCAUCGAAUCUUUGAACGCACAUUGCGCCCCCUGGUAUUCCGGGGGGCAUGCCUGUCCGAGCGUCAUUACAACCCUCAAGCUCAGCUUGGUGUUGGGCCCCGCCGCCCCGGCGGGCCCUAAAGUCAGUGGCGGUGCCGUCCGGCUCCGAGCGUAGUAAUUCUUCUCGCUCUGGAGGUCCGGUCGUGUGCUCGCCAGCAACCCCCAAUUUUUUUCAGGUGGACCUCGGAUCAGGUAGGGAUACCCGCUGAACUUAAGCAUAUCAAUAAGCGGAGGA